AGCAUCAUCAUUAUUGUGUACCUCGCGUCGGCGGUUGCCACCCAUACCUCUACGGUUGUGACGAAGGCGACGUCGAUCACGAGUGUCUUGAUCAUCAUGUUCAGUAUCACCAGUGUAGUCAUCUUCAUGACUACCGUGCUCUCGAUCUCCCUCCUUUUCUUCUUUAUGCUUCUCUUUAUCUUCGGUGUGGAAAUCAUCAAAUCGCCUUAGGAGAGCAGCAAGGCUUUUGUCCACACUAUCAACGGAUUCCUCCAAACUUGUGAGCUUGUUGUUUGUGGCAAUCUGCGUAGCCUCCAACGCCCCAGCUUUUGAUUUGUCACCUGCAAGUCGUUAUCAAGUCCCUCUGUGUGCAGCUUCACUUUCCUUUCAAAAUGUUGUAUGAUGCCCUUAGUGCGAGGUGUAUGUGGUGUUUCGUUACCAUCAUCUGCCCCUGGCAUGGUUCAAAGACAAAGACAACAAAAGGGCAAGUGAAGAAAUAAAAGACCUACAACUACUAGGAUGUAGCUACAGCAAGUCGCUCACACUCAACCUGUAACACAAGUUCUUACCAAUUCUUACCUUGCUUGACAGGAGGGGUCGUCUGCCAACAAGUGUACAACAAUGGACGAAGUGUAUCGGUGCUGCAGCACAAGACCUGUCAAGCUGUAGAGUAUGUGGAGCUAUAGGUGGGCUGAAACAAGGAACGAACUAGCACCACGUUAGUUAUAAAAGCGAGCUGAAUAAGCGUUCGACGAUGGUACUGUGGUGGUCCUAGGCUAGACCGUGCUAGAGACGCGAGCCUAGACACAAAGGAAAACCACAGCACACCCCCAAAAACAAGGUGGAACAAACCUAAAAUCAAUAUGAAAAACAGCCCCCCUCUUUUUCGUUUGAAUCUUUUCUCUUUUCUCUUUUCUUUUUUUUUCUUUUUUUUCUUUUUUUUUGGGCAACCUCAAAAAAUGAUUAUAUGAACAAAAGAAUACAAAAGAGCAAUUCGCUACACACACUUUUUUCCAAAAGUAAAGGGGUACUCUCUCUCUCUUUCUAGAGUAAGGCUGAACAAGUAUGGAGUUAUCUUUCUUUUUGGAGCACAGAAGGACUCACAUAGACGAAGUUCAGGCUAUAUUAACAAGCGGACUCCAAGUUAUAUUCGGUUUCCACUCAGAACCAACCACAAAACGGAUUCCACCUAUUGCCGAGUUCUACUCGGUUUCCUUCUUUUUUUUAUCACGUUGGUGGAACUCAGAUUGGAACUCUACUCGAUCCGGACCAAGACCACAGUUCAAUUCGGACUUCGCAAUAGAUUCGACAGAGAGAAGAUAUGGUAAUACUCGGCUGUGUAUAGAUGGUGACAAGAACUCGAAACUCUAAAGGACUAAACACUAAGACCAGCAACUCGACACAAACCGAUGCAACGCAAAUUCAACAAGCCCUAACUAAAACGGUACUAGCCAAGGCACAAAGUGUAAGUGCAUCUAGCCCUUUAGUGGGUUUUGGUGAAGUGAAUGACAACACAAUUAAAGGUAUAACAAGUUUGCUAAGUGUAUCAAAGUGUCAACAAGAAAGCAAACUUGAUGGUAUUUCACACAAUGUUCAAAUGAAUACCAAAGUUGUGUGUUGGUGUAAACUGAAUCUUGAUUGAUAUCAACACUCAUACCAAGAAGAUAUUCAAGCAAGAAUCACAAUAUUGAAGAAACAAUUUUUCAAUGGAUGCUUAACAUGAUGUGACUUGAGUAUGGCCUGAUAGAGUGAAGAUAGCAAGGAAAAGGCUUCGAGGGACUAAGCGAAGGUGAAGGUCAAGCAAUGGCUUGUAGACCGAGGUACCAUGGCUAAGGUGAAGAAGAAAGUACUUGCAUUGAGUCGAGGUACUAAUUAAGCUAUGAGGAGUCAUAUUGUGUUGAGGAUCAAAUCUUUUAUCAAAAGUGACUUGAAGUCAUGGAUUGAACUCAUAUAUGUUGAAAUGAUUCAAGUCACAUGCUCAAGCUAUAUUUACUCAAAGAGAGAAGACAAAGUUGAUUGCAUCCUUGAUGAAGUGAUAUUGAGAAGAAGUGGCAUAUGAAGACAUUGA
rnacentral:lncRNA from 1 species